rnacentral:rRNA from 1 species
ACGAACGCUGGCGGCGUGGAUAAGACAUGCAAGUCGAACGGGAGAAUUGCUAGCUUGCUAAUAAUUCUCUAGUGGCGCACGGGUGAGUAACACGUGAGUAACCUGCCUCUUAGUGGGGGAUAGCCCUGGGAAACCGGGAUUAAUACCGCAUACGAUUGAAAGAUCAAAGCAGCAAUGCGCUAGGAGAUGGGCUCGCGGCCUAUUAGUUAGUUGGUGAGGUAACGGCUCACCAAGGCGAUGACGGGUAGCCGGUCUGAGAGGAUGUCCGGCCACACUGGAACUGAGACACGGUCCAGACACCUACGGGUGGCAGCAGUCGAGAAUCAUUCACAAUGGGGGCAACCCUGAUGGUGCGACGCCGCGUGGGGGAAUGAAGGUCUUCGGAUUGUAAACCCCUGUCAUGUGGGAGCAAAUUAAAAAGAUAGUACCACAAGAGGAAGAGACGGCUAACUCUGUGCCAGCAGCCGCGGUAAUACAGAGGUCUCAAGCGUUGUUCGGAAUCACUGGGCGUAAAGCGUGCGUAGGCUGUUUCGUAAGUCGUGUGUGAAAGGCAGGGGCUCAACCCCUGGAUUGCACAUGAUACUGCGAGACUAGAGUAAUGGAGGGGGAACCGGAAUUCUCGGUGUAGCAGUGAAAUGCGUAGAUAUCGAGAGGAACACUCGUGGCGAAGGCGGGUUCCUGGACAUUAACUGACGCUGAGGCACGAAGGCCAGGGGAGCGAAAGGGGUUAGAUACCCCUGUAGUCCUGGCAGUAAACGGUGCACGCUUGGUGUGCGGGGAAUCGACCCCCUGCGUGCCGGAGCUAACGCGUUAAGCGUGCCGCCUGGGGAGUACGGUCGCAAGAUUAAAACUCAAAGAAAUUGACGGGGACCCGCACAAGCGGUGGAGUAUGUGGCUUAAUUCGAUGCAACGCGAAGAACCUUACCUGGGCUUGACAUGUAAUGAACAACAUGUGAAAGCAUGCGACUCUUCGGAGGCGUUACACAGGUGCUGCAUGGCCGUCGUCAGCUCGUGUCGUGAGAUGUUUGGUUAAGUCCAGCAACGAGCGCAACCCCUGUUGCCAGUUACCAGCACGUCAAGGUGGGGACUCUGGCGAGACUGCCCAGAUCAACUGGGAGGAAGGUGGGGACGACGUCAGGUCAGUAUGGCCCUUAUGCCCAGGGCUGCACACGUACUACAAUGCCCAGUACAGAGGGGGCCGAAGCCGCGAGGCGGAGGAAAUCCUGAAAACUGGGCCCAGUUCGGACUGUAGGCUGCAACCCGCCUACACGAAGCCGGAAUCGCUAGUAAUGGCGCAUCAGCUACGGCGCCGUGAAUACGUUCCCGGGUCUUGUACACACCGCCCGUCACAUCAUGGAAGCCGGUCGCACCCGAAGUAUCUGAAGCCAACCGCAAGGAGGCAGGGUCCUAAGGUGAGACUGGUAACUGGGAUG